rnacentral:rRNA from 1 species
UCAGUGAAUCAUCGAAUCUUUGAACGCACAUUGCGCCCGCCGGUAUUCCGGCGGGCAUGCCUGUUCGAGCGUCAUUUCAACCAUCAAGCCCCCGGGCUUGCGUUGGGGACCUGCGGCUGCGCGCAGGCCCCGAAAACCAGUGGCGGGCUCGCCGACACACCGAGCGUAGUAGUUUACACCUCGCUUAGGUCGUCGCGGCGGGCGCUGGCCGUUAAACCCCCCCAU